rnacentral:ncRNA from 1 species
UCCUAUGCUAUGAUAGGGAAUAGUAAAGAAACAAAGCUUUUUUAGAGAAAAAACCCUAGGCUGGAAGGUUUUUAAGUAAUGUUUUUUGAACCCGCCCUUGAGCUGUUAACUGAAAAAUUAGUAGGUUAUACCGGUGGACGCCGUUAAGUCAUGAAGGGAACUGUAAUGGUUAACUAGAGUGGUACCGCGGGGAAAGUAAAUCUCUCGUCUCUAAA